CAGCCGCCACGGUAAUACGAAGGGGGCUAGCGUUGUUCGGAUUAACUGGGCGUAAAGGGCACGUAGGCGGGUUUUUAAGUCAGAGGUGUAAUCCCAAGGCUCAACCUUGGAACUGCCUUUGAUACUGGAAGUCUUGAGUCCGGGAGAGGUGAGUGGAACUGCGAGUGUAGAGGUGAAAUUCGUAGAUAUUCGCAAGAACACCAGUGGCGAAGGCGGCUCACUGGCCCGGUACUGACGCUGAGGCGCGAAAGCGUGGGGAGCAAACAGGAUUAGAUACCCGUGUAGUCCCUGUCUCUUAUAC
rnacentral:rRNA from 1 species